rnacentral:rRNA from 1 species
AGUGAACGCUGGCGGUAGGCCUAACACAUGCAAGUCGAACGGCAGCACAGUAAGAGCUUGCUCUUACGGGUGGCGAGUGGCGGACGGGUGAGGAAUACAUCGGAAUCUACUUUUUCGUGGGGGAUAACGUAGGUAAACUUACGCUAAUACCGCAUACGCCCUACGGGUGAAAGCAGGGGAUCUUCGGACCUUGCGCGAUUGAAUGAGCCGAUGUCGGAUUAGCUAGUUGGCGGGGUAAAGGCCCACCAAGGCGACGAUCCGUAGCUGGUCUGAGAGGAUGGUCAGCCACACUGGAACUGAGACACGGUCCAGACUCCUACGGGAGGCAGCAGUGGGGAAUAUUGGACAAUGGGCGCAAGCCUGAUCCAGCCAUACCGCGUGGGUGAAGAAGGCCUUCGGGUUGUAAAGCCCUUUUGUUGGGAAAGAAAAGCAGCAGGUUAAUACCCCGCUGUUCUGACGGUACCCAAAGAAUAAGCACCGGCUAACUUCGUG